rnacentral:pre_miRNA from 1 species
CUGGGGGGGGAGGGAUCCCUCAGCCCAGAUUGCGAGAGGCUGCAGGCCAGGCCAAGGGACCCCACCAGUGCACA